rnacentral:siRNA from 1 species
GUCAAGUUUUGUCCCAAUGGGU